GACGAACGCUGGCGGCAGGCCUAACACAUGCAAGUCGAGCGGACCUUUCGGGGUCAGCGGCGGACGGGUGAGUAACGCGUGGGAAUAUGCCCUUCUCUACGGAAUAGUCCUGGGAAACUGGGGGUAAUACCGUAUACGCCCUUUGAGGGAAAGAUUUAUCGGGGAAGGAUUAGCCCGCGUUGGAUUAGGUAGUUGGUGGGGUAAUGGCCUACCAAGCCGACGAUCCAUAGCUGGUUUGAGAGGAUGAUCAGCCACACUGGGACUGAGACACGGCCCAGACUCCUACGGGAGGCAGCAGUGGGGAAUCUUAGACAAUGGGGGCAACCCUGAUCUAGCCAUGCCGCGUGAGUGAUGAAGGCCUUAGGGUUGUAAAGCUCUUUCAGCUGGGAAGAUAAUGACGGUACCAGCAGAAGAAGCCCCGGCUAACUCCGUG
rnacentral:rRNA from 1 species